AGAUACCUUUCAUAGCUGAUACCAUUCGGAUAUCCUACUUUAAGGAAGAGAUAUGGUAACAUACAAAUACUUUAAUGUGUCACUAACUCCGCAGCAAGUCACUUAUAUUCCAAAAUAUAAUUGUUAGGCUGUAAGAAAGCUAAAGCCGUGACUACUUAGUUAAAGAUUAACAUAAAUGCCACCCUUAGUGUCCGUUACAUCCCAAUUAACAUGCAACACUUCAAAUUCAAUGUGGGAAGCCUCCUAUAAUGCGUUCUUGAUGACUAAUUACGCCACCUAUACUAAUUUCCUGAUCACGUGCCUCUAAUACAAGAGGGAAUAACAGGCCAACACAUCCAGCUGCUUUCUGCCUACGACAGCUUUGAAGCGAGGAACUGGCAUUUCAGCUGUAAGGCGUGCAGCAUCGGGAACCUGACAGCUGAGCUGUGGCCGUGCUCGGCCUCCCUGCCCGUGGUGACAGACGCCACACACACACACGCACACACACACACACAGACACACACACACAGACACACACACACAGACACACACACACACAGACACCGCUGCCCCGUGUGCAGGAGCCGCUCGGCCACGCACAGCGCUCACCUCCCCACCGCAAUCACUCGGGACGUGGAAGAGCAGCGCCCCGCAGGCCUCCGCCUCGCCCUCCUGCACAUCGCCUCCCUUUCGCUUCCCUCUCCCCCCGCCUCCCCGCUCUGCCCCCACCCAGCGCCACCCUUCCUAGUUUUGAUUCCUGCUCGCUCCUUCCCCACAGCAGCGGCUCCUUCCCGGGGCGCCGCAGGCCUCUGGGCCUCACGGAGCCCGGGCUGCGGGCAGCGGGCUGGAGGCAGCGAGCUGGGGGCUGCGGGCCGGGGGCCGCCUUCUCCCCCCCUCACCCCGCAGCGGAGCGGACCCCGCCGGGAGGCGCGGCACAGGCGGGGGCGGCGUGGGGGACGAGGCGGUGCCACCCCGCGGGGCAGCCGGCGGCCCCUCGCUCACCUCGUCCUCCUUGUGGUUGCGGAUGCCCCGCACCAGGUCCUGCAGGUUCUUGUCGAACAUGCGGUCGAUGCUGCCCUUCACCAUCUUCAG
rnacentral:lncRNA from 1 species